rnacentral:rRNA from 1 species
UUGAACGCUGGCGGCAUGCUUACACAUGCAAGUCGAACGGUAACAGGUCUUCGGAUGCUGACGAGUGGCGAACGGGUGAGUAAUACAUCGGAACGUGCCCAGUAAUGGGGGAUAGCUCGGCGAAAGCCGGAUUAAUACCGCAUACGCCCUGAGGGGGAAAGUGGGGGAUCGCAAGACCUCACGUUAUUGGAGCGGCCGAUGGCUGAUUAGCUAGUUGGUAGGGUAAAGGCCUACCAAGGCGACGAUCAGUAGCUGGUCUGAGAGGACGAUCAGCCACACUGGGACUGAGACACGGCCCAGACUCCUACGGGAGGCAGCAGUGGGGAAUUUUGGACAAUGGGGGAAACCCUGAUCCAGCAAUGCCGCGUGUGCGAAGAAGGCCUUCGGGUUGUAAAGCACUUUUGUCAGGGAAGAAAUCCUUUGGGCUAAUACCCUAGGGGGAUGACGGUACCUGAAGAAUAAGCACCGGCUAACUACGUGCCAGCAGCCGCGGUAAUACGUAGGGUGCAAGCGUUAAUCGGAAUUACUGGGCGUAAAGCGUGCGCAGGCGGUUGUGUAAGACAGGUGUGAAAUCCCCGGGCUUAACCUGGGAAUUGCAUUUGUGACUGCACGACUAGAGUGUGUCAGAGGGGGGUGGAAUUCCACGUGUAGCAGUGAAAUGCGUAGAUAUGUGGAGGAACACCAAUGGCGAAGGCAGCCCCCUGGGAUAACACUGACGCUCAU